UGGGGAAUUUUGGACAAUGGGCGAAAGCCUGAUCCAGCAAUGCCGCGUGUGUGAAGAAGGCCUUCGGGUUGUAAAGCACUUUUGUCCGGAAAGAAAUGGCUCUGGUUAAUACCUGGGGUCGAUGACGGUACCGGAAGAAUAAGGACCGGCUAACUACGUGCCAGCAGCCGCGGUAAUACGUAGGGUCCAAGCGUUAAUCGGAAUUACUGGGCGUAAAGCGUGCGCAGGCGGUUGUGCAAGACCGAUGUGAAAUCCCCGAGGCUUAACUUGGGAAUUGCAUUGGUGACUGCACGGCUAGAGUGUGUCAGAGGGGGGUUAGAAUUCCACGUGUAGCAGUGAAAUGCGUAGAGAUGUGGAGGAAGUACCGACGGCGAAGGCAGCCCCCUGGGAUAACACUGACGCUCAUGCACGAAAGCGUGGGGAGCAAACAGGAUU
rnacentral:rRNA from 1 species